GACGAACGCUGGCGGCGUGCUUAACACAUGCAAGUCGAACGGAAAGGCCCUGCUUUUGUGGGGUGCUCGAGUGGCGAACGGGUGAGUAACACGUGAGUAACCUGCCCUUGACUUUGGGAUAACUUCAGGAAACUGGGGCUAAUACCGGAUAGGAGCUCCUGCUGCAUGGUGGGGGUUGGAAAGUUUCGGCGGUUGGGGAUGGACUCGCGGCUUAUCAGCUUGUUGGUGGGGUAGUGGCUUACCAAGGCUUUGACGGGUAGCCGGCCGGCGAGGGUGACCGGCCCCAUUGGGCCUGAGAUACGGCCCAGACGCCUACGGUAGGCAACAGUCGGGAGUAUUGCACAAUGGGCGGGAGCCUGAUGCAGCAACGCCGCGUGCGGGAUGACGGCCUUCGGGUUGUAAACCGCUUCCGCCUGUGACGAGGCGUGAGUGACGGUAAUGGGUAAAGAAGCACCGGCUAACUACGUG
rnacentral:rRNA from 1 species